rnacentral:misc_RNA from 1 species
UCGCGGACAUCCUUUCCCCUUUCCCGCUUGCCACCAGCGCCACCUCUUCUGGGCAUAGCUUCCGUGCACUCGUCUCCUCCCCUCCGCAUGCACUGCGCUCGUGUCUGGAAAUGUGACGAGGGUCGUAUCUCCUCUCGAUGCAUCGCUUGUUGCUCGCAGCUUACUGACCCGACUCUAGUCGCCUCCACUGGAGCGAGUGCAAGCGGCCGCUGACGGAGCACUCCGGCGCGGUGUCCUUCAUGGUGGAGUCAGUCAACGGUCGCAUGCUGCCUUUGUGCCCGUGGCGCGACAACUCAGUGGCGGAACUGUAGGCAGUGGUGCGCGGCAUGGUGGAGCUGGCAGGCAUGAAGCUGGGCAUCGUCGUCGGCAAUAGGCUCGUGCGAGAUUUAGUUCAUGGGCAGCACCGACCAGUACCUAAAGAACACCCUAAACCACCCGAGACUUCAUGGCCAGCCUCUUCCGAGCUGCACUGCCUGUCGUGCAGGCUUGUCACCGCGAAGACGAGGCGCUGGCAGCCUUUCCUCCUGUGAAGCUAACGCGCACCGCAGCGCCACGGACAAGCCGCGGUCCAAAGAAGAACAAUAACCACCUCUGCCGUGCGUUUGUUUGACAUCCCAAUCUCUUCGCUGGUCGGUUUGAUUUCUCUUCGUUUAUGUGAGCCCCUUCAUGUGUCCGUGCACUGUCUCUGUGUGUACGUCUCUAGCUCUCUCUCGCCCUGCCCCUCUUUCCCUGUGUACAUGUUAAUGCGUCGCACUACGCCGGUUUUUUCGGGUAGGAAGGAGUUG